AACGCGAAGAACCUUACCUGGGCUUGAACUACAGAUGGUAAGUCGAUGGAAACAUUGGCUGACCCGCAAGGGAGUCUGCAGAGGUGCUGCAUGGUUGUCGUCAGCUCGUGUCGUGAGAUGUUGGGUUAAGUCCCGCAACGAGCGCAACCCCUAUCUCAUGUUGCUAAUCCCGCAAGGGAUGCACUCUUGAGAAACUGCCUUCGAUAAGAAGGAGGAAGGUGGGGACGACGUCAAAUCCUCAUGGCCCUUAUGUCCAGGGCCACACACGUGUUACAAUGGCCGGUACAAUGGGAAGCAAGGCCGUAAGGCGGAGCCAAACCUACUAAAGCCGGCCCCAGUUCAGAUUGUGGGCUGCAACUCGCCCACAUGAAGGCGGAAUCGCUAGUAAUCGCUGAUCAGCAGGCAGCGGUGAAUACGUUCCCGGGCCUUGUACACACCGAUACUC
rnacentral:rRNA from 1 species